rnacentral:rRNA from 1 species
GAGUUUGAUCCUGGCUCAGGACGAACGCUGGCGGCGUGCUUAACACAUGCAAGUCGAACGAUGAACCACUUUGGUGGGGAUUAGUGGCGAACGGGUGAGUAACACGUGGGCAAUCUGCCCUUCACUCUGGGACAAGCCCUGGAAACGGGGUCUAAUACCGGAUAUCACUUCUGCAGGCAUCUGCGGUGGUUGAAAGCUCCGGCGGUGAAGGAUGAGCCCGCGGCCUAUCAGCUUGUUGGUGAGGUAACGGCUCACCAAGGCGACGACGGGUAGCCGGCCUGAGAGGGCGACCGGCCACACUGGGACUGAGACACGGCCCAGACUCCUACGGGAGGCAGCAGUGGGGAAUAUUGCACAAUGGGCGAAAGCCUGAUGCAGCGACGCCGCGUGAGGGAUGACGGCCUUCGGGUUGUAAACCUCUUUCAGCAGGGAAGAAGCGAAAGUGACGGUACCUGCAGAAGAAGCGCCGGCUAACUACGUGCCAGCAGCCGCGGUAAUACGUAGGGCGCAAGCGUUGUCCGGAAUUAUUGGGCGUAAAGAGCUCGUAGGCGGCUUGUCACGUCGGGUGUGAAAGCCCGGGGCUUAACCCCGGGUCUGCAUUCGAUACGGGCAGGCUAGAGUGUGGUAGGGGAGAUCGGAAUUCCUGGUGUAGCGGUGAAAUGCGCAGAUAUCAGGAGGAACACCGGUGGCGAAAGGCGGAUCUCUGGGCCAUUACUGACGCUGAGGAGCGAAAGCGUGGGGAGCGACAGGAUUAGAUACCCUGGUAGUCACGCGUAAACGGUGGGAACUAGGUGUUGGCGACAUUCACGUCGUCGGUGCCGCAGCUAACGCAUUAAGUUCCCCGCCUGGGGAGUACGGCCGCAAGGCUAAAACUCAAAGGAAUUGACGGGGGCCCGCACAAGCAGCGGAGCAUGUGGCUUAAUUCGACGCAACGCGAAGAACCUUACCAAGGCUUGACAUACACCGGAAAACCCUGGAGACAGGGUCCCCCUUGUGGUCGGUGUACAGGUGGUGCAUGGCUGUCGUCAGCUCGUGUCGUGAGAUGUUGGGUUAAGUCCCGCAACGAGCGCAACCCUUGUUCUGUGUUGCCAGCAUGCCCUUCGGGGUGAUGGGGACUCACAGGAGACCGCCGGGGUCAACUCGGAGGAAGGUGGGGACGACGUCAAGUCAUCAUGCCCCUUAUGUCUUGGGCUGCACACGUGCUACAAUGGCCGGUACAAUGAGCUGCGAUACCGUGAGGUGGAGCGAAUCUCAAAAAGCCGGUCUCAGUUCGGAUUGGGGUCUGCAACUCGACCCCAUGAAGUCGGAGUUGCUAGUAAUCGCAGAUCAGCAUUGCUGCGGUGAAUACGUUCCCGGGCCUUGUACACACCGCCCGUCACGUCACGAAAGUCGGUAACACCCGAAGCCGGUGGCCCAACCCCUUGUGGGAGGGAGCUGUCGAAGGUGGGACUGGCGAUUGGGACGAAGUCGUAACAAGGUAACC